rnacentral:lncRNA from 1 species
GUUCUGGUAUCUUGUUUUUGCAAUCAAAAGUGGAUAGCGGUUGUGCUAACCUAGAGCAUGCGAAUUCAAUUGUCCGAGUGAGACAGUUUAAGAAUCAAGAGAGCGUCUAUUGUAGUAAGGAUGCUUAGUGGAUGCUUCCAUGUGGUGACGUCGGUUGAAAUCAAUGUCUUUAUGAACAAUUUGGUGGACUCUGGGCUUCCACGAAAGAAGUGGGUCUGAUCUUUGGAAAGAAGGGACUCUUCGGAAAGGAAGGACUACAGCUUCCAAAAUUGUUUUGUAUUGGGAUUCUUCCUUGCCGCACCAAUGCGAGUGGUCGCAAUGAUAUAGCUUCCAAUCAACCAAUAAAUUUACAACAUCAUGGGCAGACCCUGAGCUGUCUAUGUUCCUGGAGCGACUGCGGUUACUGUUCUUGCUGCUUGUUAGUCACCACGUUGAAGUUAGGAGCAAGAAGUGGAUGAUAGUAGAUCUGCUACCCGUGUGGUUUUUGUGAAUCCUCGGAGCUCUCGCGCGGCUCAACAACUUCCACAUCGCGCGACUCUGAGCCCUCAUCCCAAUUUCAGACGCUAUCAAUAUAGAGCUUCUGCGGCUCGCAAAAGUAUUGAAAAAA